rnacentral:misc_RNA from 1 species
CACGAACCGCACGAACGUUAUUCGGAAUUAUUGGGCUUAAAGGGUACGUAGGCGGCGCUGUUAGUCGGGUGUGAAAUCCCUCGGCUCAACCGAGGAACUGCGCCCGAUACUGCAGUGCUUGAGGGAGACAGAGGUAAGCGGAACUGAUGGUGGAGCGGUGAAAUGCGUUGAUAUCAUCAGGAACACCAGUGGCGAAAGCGGCUUACUGGGUCUCUUCUGACGCUGAGGUACGAAAGCUAGGGGAGCGAACGGG